rnacentral:rRNA from 1 species
AUUAAACGCUGGCGGCAUGCCUUACACAUGCAAGUCGAACGGCAGCACGGGGGCAACCUUGGUGGCGAGUGGCGAACGGGUGAGUAAAGCAUCGGAACGUGCCCUGGAGUGGGGGAUAACGUAGCGAAAGUUACGCUAAUACCGCAUAUUCUGUGAGCAGGAAAGCAGGGGAUCGCAAGACCUUGCGCUCUGGGAGCGGCCGAUGUCGGAUUAGCUAGUUGGUGGGGUAAAGGCCUACCAAGGCGACGAUCCGUAGCGGGUCUGAGAGGAUGAUCCGCCACACUGGGACUGAGACACGGCCCAGACUCCUACGGGAGGCAGCAGUGGGGAAUUUUGGACAAUGGGCGAAAGCCUGAUCCAGCCAUGCCGCGUGAGUGAAGAAGGCCUCGGUU